rnacentral:lncRNA from 10 species
GGAGGGAUCAACCAUUUCUUGUGUGGUUGAGAGAACCAGAGGAGCUCUGGAUUAUGUGCAUGUUUUUUACACCAUUUCACAGAUUGAAACUGAUGGCAUUAAUUACCUUGUUGAUGACUUUGCUAAUGCCAGUGGAACUAUUACAUUCCUUCCUUGGCAGAGAUCAGAGCUUUUGAUUGAAGUGUCGCUUCCCAUUAUUAUUUACAACUGUAACUGAUACAUUAGAAUUUGCUUCAAACAUGUCUGCUGUAAAACCUUUAUCAGGUUCUGAAUAUAUAUGUUCUUGAUGAUGAUAUUCCUGAACUUAAUGAGUAUUUCCGUGUGACAUUGGUUUCUGCAAUUCCUGGAGAUGGGAAGCUAGGCUCAACUCCUACCAGUGGUGCAAGCAUAGAUCCUGAAAAGGAAACGACUGAUAUCACCAUCAAAGCUAGUGAUCAUCCAUAUGGCUUGCUGCAGUUCUCCACAGGGCUGCCUCCUCAGCCUAAGGACGCAAUGACCCUGCCUGCAAGCAGCGUUCCACAUAUCACUGUGGAGGAGGAAGAUGGAGAAAUCAGGUUAUUGGUCAUCCGUGCACAGGGACUUCUGGGAAGGGUGACUGCGGAAUUUAGAACAGUGUCCUUGACAGCAUUCAGUCCUGAGGAUUACCAGAAUGUUGCUGGCACAUUAGAAUUUCAACCAGGAGAAAGAUAUAAAUACAUUUUCAUAAACAUCACUGAUAAUUCUAUUCCUGAACUGGAAAAAUCUUUUAAAGUUGAGUUGUUAAACUUGGAAGGAGGAGCUCUGCUAGAUCUAUCUACAGAUAUAACGCUGUAAAAUCUGGUCCUUUUGGAUGAUCUAUAAUGAGUUGAUUAUUAAUAAAAGAAGUCAACAAUACCUUAA